rnacentral:rRNA from 1 species
AGCAGCCGCGGUAAUUCCAGCUCCAAUAGCGUAUAUUAAAGUUGUUGCAGUUAAAAAGCUCGUAGUUGAAUUUCGGGAUUGACACAUCGGUCGUGCCUUAAGGGGUAUGAACUGGUGUAGUCAAUUUCUCACCUUCUGGAGAACCGCGAUGCCCUUAAUUGGGUGUCACGGGGAACCAGGACCUUUACUUUGAAAAAAUUAGAGUGUUUAAAGCAGGCAUUUUGCUUGAAUACAUUAGCAUGGAAUAAUAAAAUAGGACGGCAUGAUCCUAUUUUGUUGGUUUCUAGGAUCACCGUAAUGAUUAAUAGGGAUAGUUGGGGGCAUUAGUAUUCAAUUGUCAGAGGUGAAAUUCUUGGAUUUAUUGAAGACUAACUACUGCGAAAGCAUUUGCCAAGGAUGUUUUCAUUAAUCAAGAACGAAAGUUAGGGGAUCGAAGACGAUCAGAUACCG